CCAAUAGCGUAUAUUAAAGUUGUUGCAGUUAAAAAGCUCGUAGUUGAAUUUCGGGAUUGACGUGAUGGUCGUGCCUUACGGGGUAUGAACUGUUGCUGUUGAUUUCUCACCUUCUGGAGAAACUUGAUGUCCUUAAUUGGGUGUCUUGCGGAUCCAGGACCUUUACCUUGAAAAAAUUAGAGUGUUUAAAGCAGGCAUUUGCUCGAAUACAUUAGCAUGG
rnacentral:rRNA from 1 species